UCAGAGCUUUCUGGUUUCCCAAUAAUGGAUCCCAUACCUGUAUUACAUGGUUUAUUCCAUCUGGAUGCAUCUACCCCCCAGGCUUAUAUAUGUCUAUGCCAGCAGCUGAUAAAAUAGGCCCUGUUACUCUCAUUGUUCAUUGUGUCUGUCCCUCCCUGUCUACUCUUUAUGUAUGAAUGGGUGCAUCUCUUUGUCCUACUUAUCUGCCUUUGUCUGCCCUUUACUAUCUCUAAGUGACAUACAUGAGCGUGCCCUGGUUAGAAUGAUGAAUAAUACUGAUACAAGCAGAAACAGGAACCACUGCAAAGGGAGAAAGAUAAGGUAUAUACUGAUUUAUAGAUAAAACAGUUUGGGUCAGGAAAAAUUACAGGGCAAGAAAGAGGAAAAAGAGUUUAGGAGCCAUGUUUGGUGUGGGAGAAGCAGCUAGCAUUAUUAGAGGAACAAAGCAGCGGGGAUUAGCAGAAAACAGAUGGCACAUAAAUGCCACAAAUCAUUUCCCAGUACAAUGUUGAAGUUCUGGAAAGCACAAAAGAUAGAGACAACCUAUUAGUAAAAUGCAGGUACACACAGUGAGUCAGAGCUAGGGAGUGUAAAUAAAUAAACAAAGGCAAGGGGGGUGGCCCAGCCAUAUCUUCCUCAUUUAGCAUUUAGACUAGACACAAACAAGAAGCCUUUGUUAGUCCAUUGCACCCAAAUAGACUUCUCUUAUAAUAAUGUGGUCACGUAUAAUUAAUCAUUUUGCUUCAGGGCUAGGUGUCAGGUGGUAUGUUAUAACAGAAAUAACCUACACUUUAGGAUCAGGGCUAGGGUUACUACCUUUUCUGGGAAAAAAAUACCAGCCUUCCUAAAUUCUUGCCAUUUUUUCCUAUUAAUAAAAUUGGCAUCAAACAUUAUUCUUACCAGUCAGGUCGGUUCUCAGAUUCUGGGAGAUUUGUCGCGGGGUGACUAAUCUCCCCGAACUGCCUGCCACCGGCUAGAAUGUAAAUCGCUGAUGGGAUGGCACUCGUUUUCCAAAGCCCGAAGUCGUCCCAAAUAAGAGAUUUGUUGACUAAUCUCCACGAAUCUGAGCUUGUGCUCUAACCCUUAGGCAGGGCUGUGACUGGUCAGUAAGGGCUGGACCCUAGUAUUUAGAGAGGACUCCUUGGGCAGUAAUACUAUCAGUAACAACAAUUUGUUUAUUUCAGCUUUAUGUAAAAUUUCAUCAAGAAAUAACUCCAUGCACUUUCAUCCGGUAGCACACCAUUACACCAACACUCCCAAUAGAGGUACAGGCAGCUGCUAUUGUCUACACACACACACACACACACACAGAUAUACGCAGCACUUCCUCCUCUGUUUGACUUACUACUUGACCAUCAGUGCAACUGUGUACAGAUCCACAUGUUCAUACCUCAGCCACAUAAGUAGAUCUGUGCCAUUAUCUGUCCAUUUCACAUUUUCCCUGCACUGUAAUAAAUAUGGGCAUUUGCAUCUUGCACUGGUUGUGUGUGGAAUGAUAUAUAUCUGCUGUUCACAGGGAGAGCCACAAGGGAGCUACACACGCCAGCAGGGUCUCUCUAUAGAAGCUGCAACAGCCUGUGUAAUACAGAUGUCUAUGUGUGAUUUGACUUCAAACAAAUGUGAGUGCAAACUUGUUUUUAAAGCAUUUAAAUAAAUGGUCUUAAACUAUUCUGGAUUUGUAUUUUUCUAUAUAGGAAUCCGCAAAUCUGACUUGGAAGGAGAGGAGGAUCGGUGAACAUUACGGGCAAUAUACCAUCAUUUUGGCUUGCGCUGAUCUAUAUACAAAUUUUGGAGACUUUUUGGAUAGAGCUGAGAGACUGUGUGAGGAUCGGCAGGAGAAAGUAAUUUUUUGUUUUGUGAUUACCGAAAAUGCAUAACACAUAGUUUUUUUUCUGCAGUUUGGAGAAGUUCUUUCCUGUUUCAGCACUAUUAGGCUAUGGCCACACAACACGGUGCUUUGUCUGCAUUUCUUCGCAGGUCGAGUACCUGCAGCCGCACUGCUUCUCUUUUGCUGCGCUGCCUGCACCCCGAAUCAUUACUUUCGCUCGGGUUCAUUUUGCACUGAAAUCCACAGUGCCUGCAGCUAAACAGAAGAAGAGAAGCAGUGGAUAUAUACGUAUUGUGUGGCACUAGCCUUAUGUCCCCUGUGCACACAGUAAGGACCAUACAGAACUAGCUUGCUGCCAAAUAAGUAGAGGAAACUGAUUGGCUUGUACAGAGACAGUCCUCAACUGCACACCUAUUGGGUUGCAAGCCAGGCCUGAUUAGGGUUGCCAUCUGGCUGGUAUUUUACUGGCCUGGCCAGCAAAAAUGAUGGUUGAUCCUAAUGUUAUUAAUAGGGAAUAAAGAUAAAUAUAUAGGAAGGCCGGUAUUUUUUCCAGAAAAGGUGGCAACCCUAGGCCUGAUCAGUAAAAAUCAGUUAUAAAUGGUAGCAAAUCCCACCAGCUACAGUAUGCUCCAAUUUCUAGUGGAAAGCCUUACCAGAAGUGUAACGCCUGUUAUAGCAGCAGAUGGAGGACCAGUUUCAUAUUAAUACCUUUAGCUUCAAAAUGAGAUAUGGGACAGGCAUAUAUCAUAAUACAUUUGAUACUGUAAUGCAUUUUAUGUAGAGUCCAUUUUGUAUAUCCACCCAUCAUACACAAUGGACUGUUCAUGACUGCUGCUUAUAAACUGGAACGGCUACAGCUGGUAGCAGUUAUGCAUGUGCCCUUUUAGUAAUUGUGCCUUUUUGUGUUUUACAUACAAAUAAAGCAGGACAAGUG